CCAGCCCAGCGCAGCCAGGCCUGUCCGUCAGAGAUGGGCGGGACCGAAACGCCGCGCCUACUGACCAAUCGCAGCGCGCUUCGCAUUCUUCCCUGGCAAAUCACAGCUUUAAGGAGGAACGUUGAGGGCGUUUCACGAGUUACAAGCUGGGGUCAAUACAUGAAAUGAAAUGCAAAGAUGCAGAAUGGGGGACGUCUGGCUCGACAACAGUACGUGUGAAUAAGACCUUGGAGUCCUCAUAGACAACAAGUUAAACAUGAGCCAACAAUGUGAUGUGGCAGCUUAAAAAGCCAACGGGAUUUUGGGCUGCAUCAAUAGGAGUAUAGUGUCUAGAUCCAGGGAAGUCAUGCUACCUCAUUAUUCUGCCUUGGUCAGACCACACCUGGAUUACUGUGUCCAAUUCUGGGCACCACAGUUGAAGGGAGAUGUUGACAAGCUGGAAAGUGUCCAGAGGAGGGCGACUAAAAUGAUCAAGGGUCUGGAGAACAAGCCCUAUGAGGAGUGGCUUAAAGAGCUGGGCAUGUUUAGCCUGCAGAAGAGAAGGCUGAGAGGAGACAUGAUGAAGGCCAUGUACAAAUAUGUGAGGGGAAGUCAUAGGGAGGAGGGAGCAAGCUUUUUUUCUGCUGCACUAGAGACUAGGACGCGGAACAAUGGCUUCAAACUACAGGAAAGGAGAUUCCACCUGAACAUCAGGAAGAACUUCCUCACUGUGAGAGCUGUUUGGCAGUGGAACUCUCUGCCCCAGACUGUGGUGGAGGCUCCUUCUUUGGAGGCUUUUAAGCAGAGGAUGGCCUUCUGUCAUGGGUGCUUUGAAUGCGAUUUCCUGGUUCUUGGCAGGAGGUUGGACUGGAUGGCCCAUGAGGUCUCUUCCAACCCUAUGAUUCUAAGAUUCUAUGAUUCUAAGAAAUACCUACUGAAGUUAGAUGACUUAGUCACAUCUAGGUCUCUCAACACUCCCAGGAAGUAGAUUAAGCAAGUGUUACUUAAGUCAUCUGAUGUGGGCCUGGGACUAGCAUUUUAUAUGUGCCCAUUUACUACAGCUGUUUCUUUCCUAGCAACUUGUGAGCCUGCACCUGUCGAUGAACCAUCACACGGAGCAGUGCUGUAUUAAGCGAUAAGAUAUAUAAGAAUUCCCAGCAGCCCCAAGUACCAUAGUGAAUCUUGCUGAGUUAGUGUUCAGCAGCAUCUAAAGAACCGCUGAAUUAAUAUUCGUGUUUAAGUACAUGGCCUGUUGUGUUUUCAGCUCCACUAAACUGCUGUUUCGGCUUCCCGGCAUGCCUAGGCUCCGAAGUUUGCAAGUAGAUUUUGACAAUGGUAGAAGGAAAAAUAGCAGCCCUUAAAGAACCACUUUUUUUUUGGACAGGGCAUCAUAUGCAAAAUUUAUUAUUUUACCAGACUCCCUUUUUUGUGAUUUCCUUCCUUUUUUAAUCUUACUGAAGAGGUAGUAUGGAAAAAAAGCAGGGGUGGGUAGGAAGGCAUGGAAAGACUUUGUAAAAAGGAACUGCUUUGUCAAUAGAGGUAUGAACAGUCACAGCAUAAAUUUGCAUUAAAGGUAUUGUGAUCCUGGA